CAAUUGAGGAUGAACCAGACAGCAUUGAUCUGCUGAGUGGACUAAAGAUGGGGGAGCAAGGUGGUUGGCUGGAGGCUAACAGAGGAGACUGGGUGAACAUCUUGGAUUCCCAGACCAGUGCAGCCAAGGGCAACAUCACUGAGCAGGCCAGGACCAGAGGUGACAUAGUGGAGGCUGGCUGUGACCAGAGAAAGGUGUAGAUUCGGUCCACGGGGAAACGGAGGUGUCCGUAUGCGGCUGAAGAGAACAGACAGACAGCGAUGAUCCGUCCUGCUCCUAUAGUUGUGAUUCAGAGAGACUGAUGGUGCCUCAGGUUAACCUCCUAACAGGUGCUGCCUUCAGCCUGCCUUCUAUAGGAUCUAACACCUGGAACAUGGACCCUGCGACAACACAAACACUCCCUGGACUUCAUCCUCCUCACACCAUCCUAAUGUUAAACAAGACCUCACACAAUGCCAGUGCCUCAACAGUAAAUGGCUACACAAUCCCAUUGACAAAUGACAGUAGUAGUGACGUUAUCAGUAGAUCUGGUGGCAAAGAGAAGCACUUCCCGUGUUCAUUCUGUGGGAAAGCCUUCAAUUACCUCAAACAGGUGGAGAUCCACCAGAGGAUUCACACAGGGGAGAAAUCUUUUGAUUGCCACCAGUGUGAGAAGAGGUUCUCCUACCAGCACCACCUGAAGAGGCACCAGAGGGUCCACACAGGGGAGAAAUCCUACAGCUGACCCCAGUUUGAGAAGAGGUUCUCAUGCCAGGACCAGCUGAAGAUGCACCUGAAGGUCCACACGGGAGAGAGCCUGUACGCCUGUUCGCAUUGCAAGAAGAGAUUCUCAGAGAGGAGCUACCUCUGGAUACACCAGUAGAAAACGCACAGGGCCCAUGUAUAGAGUGUAGUGACAUGUAAUGUAGUGUUAGUUUGAUGUUAAUUCUGUUGGUUUUGAAUGUUCUAGGGAACUGGAUGAGGUGAACUGAGGAAAGAAUGAGUAUGAUGAGGCAGAGUAGAUAUGGUGAUUGUUGGUGUCUGUAAAAAUGAGUCACUGAUGAAGUGACAACUAUGUCUUGUAGUUUGAUACAGGUGUUUUAUAAUGAUGAAAUGAUUGUGCCUUAAUUCAUGUUUACUUCACAUAAACUAGUGAACUGUGUGUAAUGUUGAACCUUUUCCAAUGUAUUCUAAAAUACAUUUUAUCAAAUCGGGGGUACCAGAUUUACCGAAAGGGUAACCAUAGUGAGAAAAGGUAUUGUACUUGUCACAUAUCGUUUUGUGCAAUAAAAGUACUUUACUUCAGGUUAUGUGAGUGUAUAACCAUUUUAUUGAAAUGAAAUACAAAAAUGACUGCUGACCCCCUUGUUAUCAUUGUAUCAUCAUUCUUAGUCGAACCAAAACAUAUUUAAUUCUUGAAUCAACACAUGGAAAGGUUUUUAUAAUACACUCCAAUGGCUCCAUAUUGUUAGGUACUUGAAUCACAGUGUUAGAGAUGUGUUUGACUGUGGUUAACAUUUUAUAAAGUCAUGUUUCUGUGUGUACAGCAAAGAGUUUCUUAUAUAAAGCUUUAUGCUUUUCUG